rnacentral:rRNA from 1 species
GGAAGUAAAAGUCGUAACAAGGUUUCCGUAGGUGAACCUGCGGAAGGAUCAUUAUAAAAUUUUCGUAUAUUUAUUUUUUAAAUAUAUAAAAUUACACGUUCAAAACCCACACUCUUGUAACCAUUUAUAAAAUAUAUUAUAUCUUGCAUAUAAUAAUAAUUAAAAACAACUUUCAACAACGGAUCUCUUGGCUCUCGCAUCGAUGAAGAACGCAGCGAAUUGCGAUAAGUAAUGUGAAUUGCAGAAUUACGUGAAUCAUCGAAUCUUUGAACGCAUAUUGCACUCUCUGGUAAUCCGGGGAGUAUGCCUGUUUGAGGGUCAGUAAAUAAUAAAUUAUCACAAUCGUUGGUUGUGGAAUUGGGCUCUUAUUUCGAAUAGAUUUAUGGCCUUAAAUUUACGUCAUGUGCUUAAUUCGAACCAAACGGAGCAAUUAAACAUUCUCUCGUUAGACGGAUUACUCACAAGCCAUUACGAUUUUUUGGACGACAAAAAGCACUUUCACGAGCGCGAAGCCCAAGAUCGUAAAUUCAUCCUGACAAAUGACCUCAAAUCAGGCAAGAAUACCCGCUGAACUUAAGCAUAUCAAUAAGCGGAGGA